UGUGGGAGCGAGCUUGCUCGCGAUAGCGGUGUGUCAGCCAAUGGGUUUAUUGACUGAUCUUCCACUAUCGCGAGCAAGCUCGCUCCCACA
rnacentral:misc_RNA from 1 species